GACGAACGCUGGCGGCGUGCUUAACACAUGCAAGUCGAACGGAAAGGCCCUGCUUUUGUGGGGUGCUCGAGUGGCGAACGGGUGAGUAACACGUGAGUAACCUGCCCUUGACUUUGGGAUAACUUCAGGAAACUGGGGCUAAUACCGGAUAGGAGCUCCUGCUGCAUGGUGGGGGUUGGAAAGUUUCGGCGGUUGGGGAUGGACUCGCGGCUUAUCAGCUUGUUGGUGGGGUAGUGGCUUACCAAGGGUUUGACGGGUAGCCGGCCUGAGAGGGUGACCGGCCACAUUGGGACUGAGAUACGGCCCAGACUCCUACGGGAGGCAGUAGUGGGGAAUAUUGCACAAUGGGCGGAAGCCUGAUGCAGCAACGCCGCGUGCGGGAUGACGGCCUUCGGGUUGUAAACCGCUUUCGCCUGUGACGAAGCGUGAGUGACGGUAAUGGGUAAAGAAGCACCGGCUAACUACGUG
rnacentral:rRNA from 1 species